GCCGGCGACCGGCGCGCGGGUGAGUAACACGUAUGCAAUCCACCUGUAACAGGGGGAUAACCCGGAGAAAUCCGGACUAAUACCCCAUAAUAUGGGCGCUCCGCAUGGAGAGUUCAUUAAAGAGAGCAGUUUUGGUUACAGACGAGCAUGCGCUCCAUUAGCCAUUUGGCGGGGUAACGGCCCACCAAAGCGACGAUGGAUAGGGGUUCUGAGAGGAAGGUCCCCCACAUUGGAACUGAGACACGGUCCAAACUCCUACGGGAGGCAGCAGUGAGGAAUAUUGGUCAAUGGUCGGCAGACUGAACCAGCCAAGUCGCGUGAGGGAAGACGGCCCUACGGGUUGUAAACCUCUUUUGUCGGAGAGUAAAGUACGCUACGUGUAGCGUAUUGCAAGUAUCCGAAGAAAAAGCAUCGGCUAACUCCGUGCCAGCAGCCGCGGUAAUACGGAGGAUGCGAGCGUUAUCCGGAUUUAUUGGGUUUAAAGGGUGCGUAGGCGGCACGCCAAGUCAGCGGUGAAAUUUCCGGGCUCAACCCGGAGUGUGCCGUUGAAACUGGCGAGCUAGAGUGCACAAGAGGCAGGCGGAAUGCGUGGUGUAGCGGUGAAAUGCAUAGAUAUCACGCAGAACCCCGAUUGCGAA
rnacentral:rRNA from 1 species